CGAAUUUCCCUACGGCGUAGACGCCGUAGGGAAAUUCGGAGAGAGUUGUCUCUUCUCUAUAAGCGUUCGAGUUCCCUGGAAACCUCUAGCAGGGAGAUAGGGUUUGGAACGCGAAGAGCACCGCAGUUACGGCGGUGUCCGGAUCUUCCCUACGGACCUUGAAAAUCCGGGAGAGGGCCACGAGGAACCCCGCGCCGGCUCGUACCCAUAUCCGCAGCAGGUCUCCAAGGUCAAUAGCCUCUAGUCGAUAGAAUAAUGUAGGUAAGGGAAGUCGGCAAAUCCGAUCCGUAACUUCGGGAUAAGGAUUGGCUCUGAGGACUGAGUCGUGCCGGGCUUGGUCGGGAAGUGGAGCGGUGUCAACGUGCCGGGCCUGGGCGAGGAGAAAAUUGCGUUUCUGCGCUUUUGGAUCCGAGCUCGGUCCCGUGCCUUGGCCACCCACGGAUCUUCCUUGCUGCGAGUCGUUAGCCGUGUGGUUACCGCUGGCUUUUGCUAGCUGGUCGACCUGGCUUACGAUCUCUUCGGCCGACAUUCAACAGUCAACUCAGAACUGGCACGGACAAGGGGAAUCCGACUGUCUAAUUAAAACAAAGCAUUGCGAUGGCCCCAACGGGUGUUGACGCAAUGUGAUUUCUGCCCAGUGCUCUGAAUGUCAAAGUGAAGAAAUUCAAGCAAGCGCGGGUAAACGGCGGGAGUAACUAUGACUCUCUUAAGGUAGCCAAAUGCCUCGUCAUCUAAUUAGUGACGCGCAUGAAUGGAUUAACGAGAUUCCCUCUGUCCCUAUCUACGUUUAAGUUGAAAUAUAUGGAUAACAAUAUCUGUUUAUAUGUGUAAGUAUAUAUAUGGUAUGUUAAGAUUGACUAUGUAGCUGUGGUUUUGCUGGAAAGUAGCACGAUCGCCUCCACGUGGCUGGGACGGGAACUAGGCUGGAGUAAUUGUUAUUGUAUUUGAUUAUAUUUUUAUAAUAUGUUUUUAAAAAUAUAAUAUAGUUUAUAUUAUAUUUUUGAAAUGAUGUAAUAUUGUCGUAAUCUUUGAGAUUGCUCCAGGCUGGGCUAAGAGUCGUUUUUAUUGUUAAAACGUUAGGCAAAUACCAGUAAUAUUAAGGUCAAAUAUUUUUAUUAUCAAUUUAUUUUUAUUUUGUUAAUUUUAGUUUCUUUUAAUAUUAUUGUAAUAAUGAUCCUAGAGUUUGUAUUGUAGUAAUGUAAUUAUGAAUUGUAAGAAGGGUAUGAGAGAUAUCUCAGGUACCUUCAAUAAGUUGUUUGUUAUAUAAAUGAAAAAAAAAAAAAAAAAUGUCCCUAUCUACUAUCUAGCGAAACCACGGCCAAGGGAACGGGCUUGGAAAAAUCAGCGGGGAAAGAAGACCCUGUUGAGCUUGACUCUAGUCUGGUACUGUAAGAAAACAUGAGAGGUGUAGCAUAAGUGGGAGGUAGUUUUUUUAAACUGCCGACAAUGAAAUACCACUACUUCAGGGAGCGCAUUAUGCAGCGCUGGGAGGAUAUGGAGGCGGAAGAGUUCGGUGGGGAGAUCGCUGAGGAGACGGGGCAAGGGUCAAUUGAGGAGGCCCGUCGGGGCCAGUGGGAGGACCUAUAUGGUAGGGUGGACGGUCGAGACCUCAGGGAAUCAGCUAAGGUGAAGGCGUCGUACAGCUGGAAAGCUGGGGGGGCGAGGUCGCUAUCGGGUCGCGAGUAUGUGCAAUUCGUUCGGCUUCAUGCGGGUUGCCUCCCGAGUCUCAUGAGGGCGGCUCGCGGCAGGGGGGGCCAAAGGGGAGCGCUGUGGUGCAGGGCUGGGUGUUCUAGGGCGGAGACUGUGGGGCAUGUGGUGCAGGUCUGUCCCUUGACCAAGGGGGGUCGGAUUCUCCGACAUCAUGCCAUAGUUAGAUUGUUAUCCGCAUCUUUCGAAAUUAGGAAAUUUGGAACCUAUCAAGAAUGCUCUAUUAACUUGGGGAAUUUGAUGGUACGGCCGGAUUUGAUAGUUACCCAGGGAGAUAACGCAUGGAUUAUUGACGUGCAGGUGGUCUCACCAUUGGAGGAUCUUAGAGUGAUCAAUGCUCGGAAAAAAGAGAAAAACAGUACCAAUGAGAUCUAUGCCGCUGUUAGGGAGUUAACGGGCAAGUCUAUAAUUGAU
rnacentral:ncRNA from 1 species